AAUCAACGCUGGCGGCGUGCCUCAGACAUGCAAGUCGAACGAUUAAGACUCCCUUCGGGGAGUGUAUAAAGUGGCGCACGGGUGAGUAACACGUAAGUAAUCUACCCUCGAGUGGGGAAUAACCCGGGGAAACCCGAGCUAAUACCGCAUAAUGCAGCGGCAUCGCAAGAUGACAGUUGUUAAAGGAGCAAUCCGCUUGA
rnacentral:rRNA from 1 species